rnacentral:lncRNA from 1 species
UGAGAUGAUGAGGAGUUGCUCGGCUCUCGUCGUUCUCCCCGNAGCAAGUGCAGCUUCAGCAUGUUGCCUGAGAUGAUGAGGAGUUGCUCGGCUCUCGUCGUUCUCCCCGUCUUUAUUUCCUGUCCUUCCAGAGGAUCAACAGAAACCAGCAUUCACAAACCCAUGUCUUAUUCCGUUGUUUGGUAGGCUAGCUUUAGUCUUUGUUGCAGUUCUAGUGUUCCCCCCUUGUUGUGCUGUAGAAACGCCGGGAAAUUGCUUCAGACUUUUACUUGCUGCGGAUUAGCAGCGCAUACUGGUGGCGAAGGUUGUUAUGUAUUUUGUGUCUGUUGAUGAAUGUUGUGGUGAUCUUGCUGUUUGAGUUCUUCUUCUGUGAUGUCAUGGCUUGGGUUCGG